UGAAUUAUUAUUAUAUUAAUAAGAAUUUACUUCAAUAAUACGUCCAAUUCUAAUUUAUACCCACGAUGACUCAAUCGUACGUAGUCAUCCGAGGGUUAGUCUCAGAUGGUAGCCCUUGUCCAAGCCAAUUUAGCUACUAAACUUUUAAACGCGUAUACGCGCCCGCAUAUGGCCGCGAAGAGGGCAUCGCGAGUAUUAAGAGUGCGUGUUAACCGUCGUUUUUCGCCCCUACCGGAUUUUUCUUCGCGAAGCCAGCGAAGAGUUUCAGUCGGAACCGAAGUACCCGUAUGCGUCAUCGUGCCCGCAUACCGCAGCGGCGAAUUACACCCAGCCCUUCUCGCCACUACCCUCUUCUUGCCCCCCUAAUGAUGGAUAUUGUGGCCAGCCCCCGAGGGAUCUCGUUCUCUAAACGAUUCACAACCAUACACAGGUAAGAAAGGAAAAUUCUCGGGAAAACUAAUCCUUUUAUCUAAUAUUUUGUACAAUCCUACUCAAUAUUUUAAAUCUAAGAAAAAGUCUUUGUCGCGAGAAUGUUUAAAAUGUUCGGAAAUGUUCGGGAAUCUUCGGUAACGGUCGUGGGACCUCGUAUAUCACGGAUUACAUUGGAAUAUUUAUGAAGGAAUACAAUUCGAAUUUAUUGUUUAUCGAGGGUCUAAUGCAAGAUUUCUGAAGAAUUUUGAAAAAUUAGCGAGUGUACGGUUAAAAACAGUCAUGGAAGAAGUUAUUUAUAUUAGGAUAUUUAUGAAAUGCAGACUAUUUCGAAUAUUUAUGAAUUGGGGACAGGGUUCAAGUCAAAUUUAGGAUAUUGUCAUUGCUUUAAUGAGAGAAAUUUUCUCAUUGAAUUAUGAAGAAUUUGAACACAACUCGCCUCGAGGAUUGAAAGAUGUCACGUCAUUGCGAAGAUUAAUAAUACGAACAACGGCCAUUCGCGUCACUUUCACGGAAAACAAGACCGUGAAGCACGUAGAAGACUCGUAUCGUGGUCCAAUGACCGUGCUCAAGGAAAUUCCUCAACUUCCGCAGGGUCACGAUCAAAAAUGAGAAAAGGUGGAGGGGAGGGGACCAAGUCUGAGUCAAUCUUGUUCAAGGAAAUUGCUCAACUAUAAGAUAUACGAGAUUCUUUGAAUCUAAAUUGAAAAUAGCAAGGGAAAGUUGGAAUAUUUGAUUAGGUUUUUCCAAUGACAUCAAUUAAAAGAAACGUAUGAAGGUGUUUUAAACUUGAGUCAUUUGAAAUAUGAUAAAAUAGAUUAGAAUAUCUGGAGAAAUAAAUUGACAAAAAUAUUAGAAAGUCUUAAACGUAGCUAGUUCAAGAAGAAAGCUUUAAUUCCUAAAAUUAUGGAAGAUAUUUCCAUUUUUUUUUGAAGAUUAUUAAUUAGAGAAUUAAUUUGAAUUAAUAUUAUAGUAUAUUGUUAUUAUUUUGAAACAUUCUACAUUCUACUAGCAUCCAUUAAUUCACUAUUGGAAUAUUCAAUAUGGCGUCUUUCAUUGCCUUAAUCCUUUAAAUCUAUCACUUACACAACUAAACCAAUUAAAUUACUUUGAAAAGGAUAGUUACGAAGAAAAAUAAAGGGAGGGAGGAUACAAAAAAUAUCGUGAAAUUGAACAGUUAUAUUUUUCUUAUAUUCUUAUAUCCUCCACAAGAUGGAAAAAUUUAUUACAAACCUAAUCUUAUUUUUAUUGUUUAAAGUUAUAUAAUAAAAAUUUAUAGGAUGUAUUAAAAACAUAUAGAAAUUAAAUUCCAUUAAAAUCCAAUGAAUUCUGCGGAAUUGCAUAAUAACUUCAAGAGGAAAUAGUAAUUAGUGGAUUGACAAUCUUUAUAUCCUAUUCAAAUUGCUGUUAAUCAUAUUCAUGUAUCAAUUCUCACAAAGGAUUAAUUUACAAUCUCAUCGUACUCUUAUCAAAUGUAAUAUAAUACUUAUUAAUUCCCUCGUAGACCUGGUAUCCUUCCAACUAAGGAUAUGCGAAGGUACCGUAUGCUGGACGGGCGAUGUCCACUUCCUGAAAAACCCAGGUGGACCUGCCGCCUUUCUUCGACCACCACCUGCCUCUGCCAGCAACGGGUUCCUCGCAACAAGCCUCGACUCCUCCUCUCGGCACCGCUUUCCGUAAGAUAGUCUCGGACAAGCAAUAGCAGCAGCAGCAGGCUGGUUGGCCGAUUCGUUUCAAAACGAGAAUGCGUAAGCCGUAAUUCCACGCGAUCGAUAAAGAAAACGAAGCUUUCGAUUCCAAUGGCGUUUUGCGGAAAGCGGCGACCGGAAGUAACGAAACGGAUGUAACGAAACGUGGACGAUGCCUCGCGUGACGAUUUAAGAAAUUCUGAUGAUUCAUUUCAUGGUCUUUCUUUUUUUUUUGUAAAUUUUUCUUUCUUCUCGUAAUUUUAAAUUUUAUUAAAAUUAAUUUUAUCAAAAUGAAAUUAUAAAGGAUUCUUUUCUAGUUGCGAUUGAAUUGAUAAUGAAUCAUUUUGAAUAUGGAUUAUAUUUUUAAGCAGAAACGAGGUUUAAGAUAAUUUUGUCUCAUUUCCGGAGAUUAAUGUUUAAAAUGUAAUUUAAUUGAAAUAUAAAGUAUAAGCUUGGAAUAUAAAGAUAACUCAAUUUUUGUAACCUUUUAAAAUAUUAUUCUUUCUUUUCAUCUAGUUUGAAGACGAGUUUCAUCUAAUUAAAAACAUUUUUAUUUUAUGUUUAUUUUAUAUGAUCAUAUGGAAUUAUUAAUAUA
rnacentral:lncRNA from 1 species